rnacentral:lncRNA from 1 species
GAAUGCAAAAACUUACUAAGAUACUUUUAUUUCCAUUUUACAGACCUUGUAUAUAUUACAGGCAGUUUCAACUGCCCUGGGAAAAAACUAUUAUAAAUGAAAGUUUGGAACAUUUCCUUUGAAGGAGAACUCUCUCGUUAUUAGGCUGUCUGGGGAAAGGUUGCUUAUGGCCAAAUGAUUAGGAGGAUUUUAGGAUAAUUGCUGCUCAGUGCUCCAGUUUAGAAUUUGAGGUUGAGGUUUGAAAGGGCAGAGUUGGCAGAAACUUUAUGACAUCUUAAAUAAAUUAUAAGAGAGCACUUUCACCACAUUUAAAAGAGCAUUGUUUCUCAGAACCAGUGAAAGUCUCUCUUGAGCACACUUUAUGCCUUUAACAGCCGUAGUGUGAAACAGGUAACCUCAUUCCUGAGAUACUUGCAAGGAAGGGAAGUGACUGCUGGUUUGGGUCCCUGAGACCUCUAAUGAAGAAGAGUAGAGAUUUUGAUUGGGUAGGUCAUAGAGUCUUGACUGAGACCAGGUCACAUAUAGUGAGUGGCCUGUGGUUUGGAUGAGGUGAUCUUUCCUUUCCAUCAGCUGUGAUUCUGUUUCCAAAGGAAGAUUGGGGAUAAAGUUGGAAAGAAUGUGGCUCAAUGCUCUGAAGCUUCUUCUAUGGGUUGGAAUAGCCAAACACCCAGAGAUCUGAAGGAGAAUAAAGUGGUUUCCUUAUAAUUGAGGAGGAAAUUAUGGCAUGCCAGAUACGGUGCUUACUUCACAGUGAUUCAUCCUGCGCUAAACAGUUCCUGAGUGCAUAGAACCAGGUUACAUAUUUGCAUCAGUAACAGACUGCAGAAGGAAGAACACUACCACAGAGCAGGGGACUCAUAAAAUAGUGCAACCUGCAAGUCCAAUCAUGCCACACUCCCAUUCAAAAAUCCUUCCAUGGUCUCCUGAUGCCCAUAAAAUAAAACCCAAACUCCUCAGGAUGACACACUUUUAUCUAACUAGCCUUCUAUUUAUCAUUUCCUCUUUCCAUAUUUGGUACUUCAGGAUGCCACCAUGCUCCAGUACCGCCUCUACCCACCAACCUUUAAGUACUGGUUUGUCCUUCAAAUCUUGUCUCAAAUAUGAAACGAUCUUCCCUGCCAGAAGGUGUUCUUGCUCUGCCAGGGACAGUGACUUGCCACCACCCUCCAUUCCACCAUUGCAGCACUUUUCAUCCAUUUGCAUGAUCAUAGUUGGCCUUGUCACAGACUGCAAGGCCCCUGAUAACAUGGCACACAUUGUGGUCUUCUAACUUACUAAGGUGUGAAUUUGGGCAAAUGACUUAAUCACUUUGUACCUCAGUUUCCCCACAGGAAGGCUGCUGUUUAGUGCAUAUUUCCUUUUGCUUUGGAAAAUAAAGGGCUGGAGAUAAUGUUCUGCACGGUGAUGUUGAGUGUAAACAGACUGCUCGUGAAAUUGAAAUUUACAACAGGAAAAAGGACAGUUCAGAAGUGGGGACUCAAAACUUAAGUGAUUCAAGAAAAACUAGGCUCCGAGAUCUUUGGAGAUGUUGGGAAGAACAACAGGCUUGGAGUUCAAAACAAUCUCAUUGAAAUCUUGAAGAAUAAGUUUGUCUCAAGAGACUUAAAGGUUGAAAGUGGGCAGGGCACAGUGGAUCAUUCCUGUAAUGCUAGCACUCUGGAGGCCAAGGAAGGUGGAUCACUUGAGCUCGGAAAUUUGAG